ACUUAAGCAAACUCGAUCGUUGUACACUUUGAUGGGUGGAUCCACUGGUGUCUUCUCCAAAACGAUAACGGAGGUGUCCAAGGUCAGCUCAGAGUGGACAGAAACCACCCGUUGAGCAUAAGGACAAAAGCUGGUUUGAUCCUAACGUUCAGUAACACGCCGGGACAGCGAAAGCUUGGCCUUACGAUCCUUUUGGUAUAACGAGUUUUUAGCAAGAGGUGUCAGAAAAGU
rnacentral:rRNA from 1 species